GACGAACGCUGGCGGCGUGCCUAAUACAUGCAAGUAGGACGCAGUUGGGAACGGGUGAGUAACGCGUAGGUAACUGCAUAUGGGAGGGGGAUAACUAGGGUAAACGAUAGCUAAUACCGCAUAAUGAUAGAUGGACCUACGUUGUGGUAGGUAGUAUGUGGGUGAAUGGCCUACCUAGGCAACGAUACCUAUCCGACCUGCGUGGGGGGUCCGCCCACCUUGGACCUAGAACCCGCCCCUGCUCCUAAGGGAGGCAGCCGUAGGGAAACUUCGGACAUGGGGGGAAACCUGAACGCGCAAAUCCGGGUGAGUUAAGAAGGUCUUUGGAUCGUAAAGCUCUUUUGUUAAGGAAGCGGUACUCACCCAGAAAGGGACGGCUAACUACGUGCCAGCAGCCGCGGUAAUUC
rnacentral:rRNA from 1 species